rnacentral:rRNA from 1 species
GCCCGGAGAUAGCUGGUUCUCCCCGAAAUAGCUUUAGGGCUAGGCUCAAGGUGAGAGAUACGGAGGUAGAGCACUGAAUGUCCUAGGGGGUAUUGCACCUACCGAAGACUAUCAAACUCCGAAUGCCGUCAUCUUAUACUCUGGAGUAAGACUGUGGGUGAUAUGAUUCAUAUCCGAAAGGGCAACAGCCCAGAUCGUCAGCUAAGGUCCCUAAAUGUAAGUUAAGUGGUAAAGGAUGUGGGAUUGCACAGACAACCAGGAUGUUGGCUUAGAAGCAGCCACUCAUUCAAAGAGUGCGUAAUAGCUCACUGGUCGAGUGAUCCUGCGCCGAAGAUUUCCGGGGCUAAAACUUACUACCGAAGCUACGGCAUCAUUAUGAUGGGUAGGGGAGCUUCCCAUACGGGUUGAAGCAUGACCGGAAGGACAUGUGGACAGGAUGGGAGUGCGAAUGGUGGCCUGAGUAGCGAGAUGUGGGUGAGAAUCCCACAGGCCGUAAACCCAAGGUUUCCAGGGGAAGGUUCGUCCGCCCUGGGUUAGUCGGGACCUAAGGUGAGGCCGAAAGGCGUAGGGGAGGGAGAACAGGUUGAUAUUCCUGUACUACCGAUAACCGUUUGAGAGAAGGGAUGACACAGUAGGAUAAGCUAAGCACACUGUUG